rnacentral:ncRNA from 1 species
UUAAUUAAUUUAUUUAUAUGUAAAUUUUAGUAUUAAAUAAAUUUAGAUAGUUUAUUUAAAAAUAGCAGUAUUAAGUUUUAUUUAUUAAGAUAUUUUAGAAAUAGAAAUUUAAUUUAGUAUAAACAAAAUUUGUGCCAGCAGUUGCGGUUAUACAAAUUAUGCAAAUUAAAUUUAUUUAGUAUAAUUAAAUUGAUAUUUUAUACAUGAUUAUUAAUUUUAAAGUGAAAUUUAAAUUAAUAGAAAAAAUAUAAUAAUUAAUUUUGAGGUUAAGAAAUUUAAUAUUAAACUAGGAUUAGAUACCCUAUUAUUAUAAAUGUAAAUUUAUUCUAAAAUUAUUAAUAGUUAUGGUCUUUAAAAUUAAAAAAUUUGGCGGUAUUUUAGUCUAUUCAGAGGAACCUGUUUUAUAAUUGAUAGUCCACGAUAAGUUGUACUUUAAUUAUUAAUUUGUAUAUCGUCGUAAUUUGAAUAUCUUUUUAGAGUUAAAAUAUUCUAAAUUUAAAAUUUUAAAUUAAUUCAGAUCAUGGUGCAGUUUAUAUUAAAGUAAAAAUGGGUUACAUUUAAUAAAUUUUUGGUAUUUGUAUUUAAAAUAUAAAUUAAAUAGGAUUUGAAAGUAAUUUAAUUAAUUUAAUUUAAAUGAGUAUGUUCUAAAAUAUGCACAUAUCGCCCGUCGCUUUCAUUCUAAAAUGAAAUAAGUCGUAACAAAGUAGGCUUAUUGGAAAAUGAGCCUAGAAUGAU